rnacentral:rRNA from 3 species
GACCUGAGCUCAGGCAAGACUACC